rnacentral:rRNA from 1 species
AAUUCCUACGGGGGGCAGCAGUGGGGAUAUUGCACAAUGGGGGGAACCCUGAUGCAGCGACGCCGCGUGGGUGAAGGAGCGUUUCGGCGCGUAAAGCCCUAUCGGCAGGGAAGAAGGAGGACGGUACCUGACUAAGAAGCCCCGGCUAACUACGUGCCAGCAGCCGCGGUAAUACGGAGGGGGCAGGCGUUAUCCGGAUUUACUGGGUGUCAAGGGGGCGCAGACGGCAGCGCAAGCCAGGCGUGA